CACGUAGGGCGCAAGCGUUGUCCGGAAUUAUUGGGCGUAAAGAGCUCGUAGGCGGUCUGUUACGUCUGCUGUGAAAACCCUGGGCUUAACCCUGGGCUUGCAGUGGAUACGGGCAGACUAGAGGCAGGUAGGGGAGAAUGGAAUUCCCGGUGGAGCGGUGAAAUGCGUAGAGAUCCGGAGGAACACCGACGGCGUAGGCAGCGCCCUGGCCGUUUCCUGACGCUGAAGCACGAAAGCUGGGGGAGCAAACAGG
rnacentral:rRNA from 1 species